rnacentral:rRNA from 1 species
CCUACGGGCGGCAGCAGUGGGGAAUAUUGGACAAUGGGGGCAACCCUGAUCCAGCCAUGCCGCGUGUGUGAAGAAGGCCCUCGGGUUGUAAAGCACUUUCAGUGAGGAAGAACGCCUGGUGGUUAAUACCCAUCAGGAAAGACAUCACUCACAGAAGAAGCACCGGCUAACUCCGUGCCAGCAGCCGCGGCAAUACGGAGGGUGCGAGCGUUAAUCGGAAUUACUGGGCGUAAAGCGCGCGUAGGUGGCUUGAUAAGCCGGUUGUGAAAGCCCCGGGCUCAACCUGGGAACGGCAUCCGGAACUGUCAAGCUAGAGUGCAGGAGAGGAAGGUAGAAUUCCCGGUGUAGCGGUGAAAUGCGUAGAGAUCGGGAGGAAUACCAGUGGCGAAGGCGGCCUUCUGGACUGACACUGACACUGAGGUGCGAAAGCGUGGGUAGCAAACAGGAUUAGAUACACGUGUAGUC